rnacentral:rRNA from 1 species
UUCCGUAGGUGAACCUGCGGAAGGAUCAUUACCGAGUUGAUUCGGGCUCCGGCCCGAUCCUCCCACCCUUUGUGUACCUACCUCUGUUGCUUUGGCGGGCCGCGGUCCUCCGCGGCUGCCCCCUCCCCGGGGGGUGGCCAGCGCCCGCCAGAGGACCAUCAAACUCCAGUCAGUAAACGAUGCAGUCUGAAAAACAUUCAAUAAACUAAAACUUUCAACAACGGAUCUCUUGGUUCUGGCAUCGAUGAAGAACGCAGCGAAAUGCGAUAAGUAAUGUGAAUUGCAGAAUUCAGUGAAUCAUCGAAUCUUUGAACGCACAUUGCGCCCUUUGGUAUUCCGAAGGGCAUGCCUGUUCGAGCGUCAUUACAACCCUCAAGCUCUGCUUGGUAUUGGGCACCGUCCUUUGCGGGCGCGCCUCAAAGACCUCGGCGGUGGCGUCUUGCCUCAAGCGUAGUAGAACAUACAUCUCGCUUCGGAGCGAGAGGGCGUCGCCCGCCGGACGAACCUUCUGAACUUUCUCAAGGUGACCUCGGAUCAGGUAGG